rnacentral:rRNA from 1 species
UACGUAGGGUGCAAGCGUUGUCCGGAAUUAUUGGGCGUAAAGAGCUCGUAGGCGGUUUGUUGCGUCGGCUGUGAAAUCCCGAGGCUCAACCUCGGGUCUGCAGUCGAUACGAGCAAACUAGAGUGUUGCAGGGGAGACUGGAAUUCCUGGUGUAGCGGUGAAAUGCGCAGAUAUCAGGGAGGGAACACCCGGUGGGCGAAAGGCGGGGUCUC